CCUACGGGAGGCUGCAGUGGGGAAUAUUGGACAAUGGGCGAAAGCCUGAUCCAGCCAUGCCGCGUGUGUGAAGAAGGCCUUUGGGUUGUAAAGCACUUUCAGUGGGGAAGAAAGCCUUGGGGCUAAUACCCUCGAGGAAGGACAUCACCCACAGAAGAAGCACCGGCUAACUCCGUGCCAGCAGCCGCGGUAAUACGGAGGGUGCGAGCGUUAAUCGGAAUUACUGGGCGUAAAGCACGCGUAGGCGGUCUGAUAAGCCGGUUGUGAAAGCCCCGGGCUCAACCUGGGAACGGCAUCCGGAACUGUCAGGCUAGAGUGCAGGAGAGGAAGGUAGAAUUCCCGGUGUAGCGGUGAAAUGCGUAGAGAUCGGGAGGAAUACCAGUGGCGAAGGCGGCCUUCUGGACUGACACUGACGCUGAGGUGCGAAAGCGUGGGUAGCAAACAGGAUUAGAUACCCGAGUAGUC
rnacentral:rRNA from 1 species